rnacentral:rRNA from 1 species
AUUGAACGCUGGCGGCAUGCCUUACACAUGCAAGUCGAACGGCAGCACGGGAGCUUGCUCCUGGUGGCGAGUGGCGAACGGGUGAGUAAUACAUCGGAACGUGCCCAUGUCGUGGGGGCUAACGUAGCGAAAGCUACGCUAAUACCGCAUACGAUCUACGGAUGAAAGCGGGGGAUCGCAAGACCCCGCGCGACUGGAGCGGCCGAUGGCAGAUUAGGUAGUUGGUGGGGUAAAGGCUCACCAAGCCGACGAUCUGUAGCUGGUCUGAGAGGGCGACCAGCCACACUGGGACUGAGACACGGCCCAGACUCCCACGGGAGGCAGCAGUGGGGAAUUUUGGACAAUGGGCGAAAGCCUGAUCCAGCCAUUCCGCGUGCAGGAUGAAGGCCCUCGGGUUGUAAACUGCUUUUGUACGGAACGAAAAGCCUUCUUCUAAUACAGGAGGGUCAUGACGGUACCGUAAGAAUAAGCACCGGCUAACUACGUGCCAGCCGCCGCAGUAACAC